rnacentral:rRNA from 1 species
CCUACGGGUGGCAGCAGUAGGGAAUAUUGCUCAAUGGGGGAAACCCUGAAGCAGCAACGCCGCGUGGAGGAUGAAGGUUUUCGGAUUGUAAACUCCUUUUGUUAGAGAAGAUAAUGACGGUAUCUAACGAAUAAGCACCGGCUAACUCCGUGCCAGCAGCCGCGGUAAUACGGAGGGUGCAAGCGUUACUCGGAAUCACUGGGCGUAAAGAGCGCGUAGGCGGGAUAGCAAGUCAGAUGUGAAAGCCUAUGGCUUAACCAGAGAACUGCAGUUGAAACUGGUAUGCUAGAGUAUGGGAGAGGUAGGUGGAAUUCUUGGUGUAGGGGUAAAAUGCGUAGAGAUCAAGAGGAAUACUCAUUGCGAAGGCGACCUGCUAGAACAUAACUGACGCUGAUGCGCGAAAGCGUGGGGAGCAAACAGGAUUAGAUACCCGAGUAGUC